GGAGUUAGCCGGUGCUUCUUCUGUGAGUGAUGUCCUUCCUGCCGGCUAUUAACCCGCAGGCCUUCUUCCUCACUGAAAGUGCUUUACAACCCGAAGGCCUUCUUCACACACGCGGCAUGGCUGGAUCAGGGUUGCCCCCAUUGUCCAAUAUUCCCCACUGCUGCCUCCCGUAGGAGUCUGGGCCGUGUCUCAGUCCCAGUGUGGCUGAUCAUCCUCUCAGACCAGCUACGGAUCGUCGCCUUGGUGAGCCGUUACCUCACCAACCAGCUAAUCCGACAUAGGCUCAUCCGAUAGCGCGAGGCCCGAAGGUCCCCCGCUUUCCCCCGUAGGGCGUAUGCGGUAUUAGCCUGGGUUUCCCCAGGUUAUCCCCCACUACCGGGCAGAUUCCUAUGCAUUACUCACCCGUCCGCCGCUCGCCACCAGGGAGCAAGCUCCCCGUGCUGCCGCUCGACUUGCAUGUGUUAGGCCUGCCGCCAGCGUUCAAUCUGAGCCAUGAUCAAACUCGA
rnacentral:rRNA from 1 species